UCUUGGAGGAACUCUGAUGCAGCGACGCCGCGUGAGGGAAGAAGGUCUUCGGAUUGUAAACCUUUGUCCUUGGUGACGAUAAUGACGGUAGCCAAGGAGGAAGCUCCGGCUAACUACGUGCCAGCAGCCGCGGUAAUACGUAGGGAGCGAGCGUUGUCCGGAUUUACUGGGUGUAAAGGGUGCGUAGGCGGCUCUGCAAGUCAGGUGUGAAAACCAUCGGCUUAACUGAUGGACUGCAUUUGAAACUGUGGGGCUUGAGUGGAGUAGAGGCAGACGGAAUUCCCGGUGUAGCGGUGAAAUGCGUAAAGAUCGGGAAGAACACCAGUGGCGAAGGCGGUCUGCUGGGCUCUAACUGACGCUGAGGCACGAAAGCAUGGGUAGCAAACAGGAUUAGAUACCCUGGUAGUCCAUGCCGUAAACGAUGAUUACUAGGUGUGGGGGGUCUGACCCUCUCCGUGCCGGAGUUAACACAAUAAGUAAUCCACCUGGGAAGUACGACCGCUGGGUUGAAACU
rnacentral:rRNA from 1 species